rnacentral:rRNA from 1 species
AUGCUGAGCGCGGCGACAGCGAAGACCAGCAGCGGCGCGGCGCAGAGGAGCGCGAAGGUGAAGGCGUGCACGUACAUGUUGCCCAGGCCCAGGCGCUCCAUGUUCCACCCGAACACGCAGAAGGUGCACGACAGCGACAGGGCCGCCACCGUGGGAUCGUCGGCGAGGUCGAACAGCCCGCCGGCCCACUCCGGCUUGCUGACCACCACUCUGCCGCUGCCCGUGCGAUCAUAUCGGGCCACGGCGCUCUCCUUCACCGUCGCGGCCUCCUCGUCGACGGAGUCCGGAAGCGCGAUCUUCUGUCCCAGCGGGCCGUAG